rnacentral:rRNA from 1 species
AACGCGAAGAACCUUACCUGGGUUUGACAUCCCUCGACCGGCGUAGAGAUACGCUUUUUGUAGCAAUACAACGGGGAGACAGGUGCUGCAUGGCUGUCGUCAGCUCGUGUGGUGACAUGUUGGGUUAAGUCCCGCAACGAGCGCAACCCUUGUCUUUAGUUGCCAGCAUUCAGUUGGGCUCUCUAAAGAGACUGCCGUGGUUAACACGGAGGAAGGUGGGGAUGACGUCAAGUCCUCAUGGCCUUUAUAUCCAGGGCGACACACGUGAUACAAUGGAGGGUACAGAGAGACGCCAAGGCGCGAGCCGGAGCCAAUCUCAAAAAGCCCUUCUCAGUUCGGAUUGGAGUCUGCAACUCGACUCCAUGAAGUUGGAAUCGCUAGUAAUCGCGGAUCAGCACGCCGCGGUGAAUACGUUCCCGGGCCUUGUACACACCGAGUAUA